GUUUUUUUUUUGGUGAUAUAAUUUAAAGAAUAAUUUACAGAGAAAACAAAACCUGGGCAUUCUUUCCGAGAGGCCUUCUUCAGAUAAAGAGGAAGAAUGUCUUUGAAUUCUGAUAUAAAGUUUUGUUUCUAGACUGUAUUGCAGACAAAUUAGUCUCGGUGGGAUGGGAAACCAAGUUUUGCAAAGGAUGGGGUGUACGUGAGCCUUCGAAGGUUCCAGCAUACAGCACGGCUGAUGAUAAACAUUUGUCAAGUAAUGAGAGAACAAGUGAAGGGGGUUUCCCUUUGAUUGCAGGGGUCAGGCUGCCCUGAAGGCUGACGGUUACUAUAACCACAGCGGUUUUCUGCUUUUGAAUUAAGGCCGGGAACGCCCUCUCCAGUUAGGACCUACAGAAGUACAAUCAAUGAACAGCAGCUGCUGCUGGUUUCCUCCUUCUUCAAAGCUAAUUAUUCCCAUCUUAGGACUUGGCAAAAUCUGUCUUUACGGGGAGGCUUAGUUAUGUUCGCCACCCGGAACUCUCUGGAAAUCAUACAUUCUCAAGUAAUUGCGGGACACCCUCUGGUGAGCAAUCCAAGGUAUCUUUACUCUCCACGCACAGACGCAGUUCUGGCUCCUUCUUGUAGGUCUUAUUUGCCUGGUUGCACCCUGGUGGUUCAGGACCGGGUCCCUAUGCAAGGAGGCAUCGUUCUCCUUCCCGAGGAGCUCUGGGGAGCCCUGAGGUCCGGACAAGGCUGAUACGAUCAGGUGGAAGGUGUGGGUAGAGGAGAUGCUGUGGUUCAUCUCCUCAUUCUUUCGGAUCCAAGGUCCCCUAUGAAAUGUCAACACCCGGGAAAGACUCAGUCCCCAUUUGGCAGAGCUGAUCGACUUGAGAGGACCGUGUGAGAAGGAGGUGCUGAUGAUACGUGGGCUGCAAGGAAGGAGGGAAGCCGUGCCCUCUGGGGCAGGCCAGAGAGACAGGUGAGCCCCAUGGCUUUGCUUCAUUCCCACCCUGCACCCGGACGCUUGAGGGAGGAGGGCCUGGUGUAGGAAGCCGUCAGCAUCGCCCUGCCUGGCGCUCCUGUGUGCAGAUCCUCCACUGCGGAGGAACGGGGACCUGAAUUAGAAGAUCCCAACCCCUCUGGAAUAAUACAUCUAACGUUUGCACAGAC